ensembl:lncRNA
CUUUGCUUGGCUGGGGUUUUUAUUGCCGAGUUGUUGUAAAGGUUUCUCUUCCUCCCUUGCUCCUGCAAAAUUGAUGGUCUCGCCCUCCAGACGGGCUUCAGGCAGAGAGCUGCGUCUGGGGGCGGGGGUGGCUUGCAGCUGCCUGUUUGCCUCCCCGAGGAGAAGUCACAGGAGCUCAGCGGCGAUAACAGAGGCAGGAGACGCGGGAAACACAGCAGCUGUGUGCUCCUGAAGCACGUGCCCGGCUUCCCUGGCGGCUCAGAUGGCCCAGCCCAGCAGAGCCCUCCAGAGGUGGACGCCCAGCGGAUGGACGCGGCGCUCAGCCCGGCUCCGAGGACACCGCUGCUGGGUCAGCCCCUGUCACCCUGGCUCAUAGCCACGUCCUAAGCCAAAACCUCUAUGCCAGAGGAGGGGGCUCCUCUUUUAUCCCCAUUUGACGGACGAGGACACUGAGGCCGGGAAACCCAGGGACAUGCCUGAGGUCAGGUGGCCAGAGGUGAAACGUAUGUCCCUCUCUCUGAACACACAUAAAUAGCCUGCACAGGCCCCCAGAGCCCAUUUAGCUCAGGACAGAAGGCAGACAGGGAGACCUGGGUCCCGGCUCAACUCAGACACAAACAGAACCCGUCCUGCAUAUCAGACACGGGCUCCUGUCGAGGAGAAGAGCCAGGUGCCUGAGGAAAGGAGCCUCAGGAUGGUGUCCCAAGGGCCCUUGAGGAAAAGGACCAGGGCUGGGACCUGGCUGAGUCGAGGGGCCACUCGAGGGCCCAGUGACCAGGAAGACCCCGUGGAGUGAGUGUGUGACCCCUCGGGGGCCCAGGGACCAGGAAGACCCCGUGGAGUGAGUGUGUGACCCCUCGGGGGCCCAGUGACCAGGAAGACCCCGUGGAGUGAGUGUGUGACCCCUCGGGGGCCCAGGGACCAGGAAGACCCCGUGGAGUGAGUGUGUGACCCCUCGGGGGCCCGGGGGCCAGGAAGACCCCGUGGAGUGAGUGUGUGACCCCUCGGGGGCCCGGGGACCAGGAAGACCCUGUGGAGUGAGUGUGUGACCCCUCGGGGGCCCGGAGACCGGGAGGAUGCCGUGGAGUGGCUGCAUGACCCCGGCCGUGGCCACACGCUCUGGGAAGCCGGCCGCCCGCAACUCCCCAGCAGGACUCUGAAUACUGGCACUUGACCCUCAGGUGACCGAGACGCUGUCUGAGUCCUGUCAACGUCAGGAUGUGAGGGGAAGCUCUGGCUGCAGCCCCUACACUUCCAAGAGACGUCCAGGAGGCCCGGGGUGCUUGUGGUAUAGGCCAGCAGGGUCCUCACCAGAAACACCCCAAACAGCCAGCAGGCAGAGUGCAGGGGGCCCGCGAGGAGGCAGGCAGCUGGCCACAGGACGCCCAGGACGGCUGUGCAGCGUGUCUACAGUCAGACCCCAGGACCUUCUGGAGGACCCGAGGUCGCACAGGGCAGUGCCUUCUGGGGACUGACCAGGCAGCGGGACCGCCCGACUGACCCCUGCCCGGUGCUCCCACCCCAGCCCAGGCCACGGAAAGUCCAGCAGGGAGGCUCGGCCCGACGAGCGGACAGCCACUGCCGAAGGCCCGGCCGGCAGCGGGAGGGGGCAGAGAGCUCCCCGCUCAGCAGAACGCUAGCGGCUACUUUCCAUGGAAAAAAUGUCUUCAGACCCCCAGAGGCCAGGAGGCCCCAGCCCAUGAGUCAAGGCUCUGCUG